UUGACUUCUGACAGGCCUUGCCAAAC
rnacentral:piRNA from 1 species